ACUCCUACGGGAGGCUGCAGUAGGGAAUAUUGGGCAAUGGACGCAAGUCUGACCCAGCCAUGCCGCGUGCAGGAUGAAGGCCUUCUGGGUUGUAAACUGCUUUUAUCUAGGAAGAAAAUACUCUUGCGAGAGGAACUGACGGUACUAGGUGAAUAAGCACCGGCUAACUCCGUGCCAGCAGCCGCGGUAAUACGGAGGGUGCAAGCGUUGUCCGGAUUUAUUGGGUUUAAAGGGUGCGUAGGCGGCUUUAUAAGUCCGUGGUGAAAUCCAACAGCUCAACUG
rnacentral:rRNA from 1 species